rnacentral:rRNA from 1 species
UACGGGGGGGGCAAGCGUUGUUCGGAAUUACUGGGCGUAAAGCGCACGCAGGCGGCUGAGUCAGUCGAUUGUGAAAGCCCUGGGCUUAACCUGGGAAUUGCAGUCGAUACUACUCAGCUAGAGUAUGGGAGAGGGUAGUGGAAUUCCCGGUGUAGCGGUGAAAUGCGUAGAUAUCGGGAGGAACAUCAGUGGCGAAGGCGGCUACCUGGCCCAAUACUGACACUCAGGUGCGACAGCGUGGGGAGCAAACGGG